rnacentral:lncRNA from 1 species
CCAAAAUAACAUUUUUGCAAACUUGCUCCAAUGGCCAAACUAAUGGCACCACUGGAUUCCUAGGAUACUUUUACCCCAAAAUUAUAUAUCACACCCUAUGGUCCUAUGGACAAAACUCCUACAAUACAACUCAAAAAUCUACACAAUCACUUAUAAUCUAGUAUAUGCCAAAUUUUGCAUUUCCCAAAUAAGCACUGACACUUCAGGAAGUAAACAAGUAUAGAC